rnacentral:rRNA from 1 species
UGAGGAAAAGAAACCAACAGGGAUUGCCCUAGUAACGGCGAGUGAAGCGGCAACAGCUCAAAUUUGAAAGCUAGCCUUCGGGUUCGCAUUGUAAUUUGUAGAGGAUGAUUUGGGGAAGCCGCCUGUCUAAGUUCCUUGGAACAGGACGUCAUAGAGGGUGAGAAUCCCGUAUGUGACAGGAAAUGGCACCCUAUGUAAAUCUCCUUCGACGAGUCGAGUUGUUUGGGAAUGCAGCUCUAAAUGGGAGGUAAAUUUCUUCUAAAGCUAAAUAUUGGCGAGAGACCGAUAGCGCACAAGUAGAGUGAUCGAAAGAUGAAAAGCACUUUGGAAAGAGAGUUAAAAAGCACGUGAAAUUGUUGAAAGGGAAGCGCUUGCAAUCAGACUUGUUUAAACUGUUCGGCCGGUCUUCUGACCGGUUUACUCAGUUUGGACAGGCCAGCAUCAGUUUCGGCGGCCGGAUAAAGGCUCUGGGAAUGUGGCCUCCACUUCGGUGGAGGUGUUAUAGCCCAGGGUGUAAUACGGCCAGCCGGGACUGAGGUCCGCGCUUCGGCUAGGAUGCUGGCGUAAUGGUUGUAAGCGACCCUCUA